rnacentral:rRNA from 1 species
UACGUAGGGCGCAAGCGUUGUCCGGAAUUAUUGGGCGUAAAGAGCUCGUAGGCGGCUUGUCACGUCGGAUGUGAAAGCCCCGAGGCUUAACCUCGGGGUCUGCAUUCGAUACGGGCUAGCUAGAGUGUGGUAGGGGAGAUCGGAAUUCCUGGUGUAGCGGUGAAAUGCGCAGAUAUCAGGAGGAACACCGGUGGCGAAGGCGGAUCUCUGGGCCAUUACUGACGCUGAGGAGCGAAAGCGUGGGGAGCGAACAGG